UUUAAUAUUUUCUCUAACCCUAAUUAAGCUCACUUCACCAAGGCAGUCCCUUCUCUGUUGCCUCUUCCAGGCUCGAGCAACUACAGCCCUUGUCGAGCGUCCACGUCGCCGAACCUAUGGAGCCGCAAUCGCUGACGUCGCUGCCCUCCAUGGUCGGCCAAGGCCAACGUCGGUGACGCCGUUUCAACUUCGCUCUUCCUUCUCAACAGUCUCUUUUUCUCGACACCAACAACACCAAUCCAACCCCUGAAACCCGUGAAUCUCGCAGAAGAUAGGGGUGGUGGUUUGGUGGUUUUUUGGCCUGGGUGUGAAAGACGCAUGUGGUGCUGGUUCGGUGGUGAAGUGCGUGCACUUGAUUUUUUGAGUGCAGGUUGGAAAUGAUGGUUCCAUCAAUGGGGAUCGGAGGUUAAUCAAUGUGGGGGUUAAGGAUUGUUAUGAAUGGUGGUUCUCUGGUUUUAAUUAUUUUGUGCAGGUUGGAUGAAUGGAAGAUGAAAAGGAUUAUGAUGGCCAAGAUGAUUGUACGAGAGCGUUGAUAGUGCACAGUGAUACUCACAGUUUUGAUGGACCACAUUUUGUUUUCCAAACUCAAACAACAACAACAUGGAGCACAUCUUGGAGUGGUUUGAUUAAUUGGUUGGGCCUGGGUUUCAAGAAUGUGAUUGUUAUUCAAUGGAAUUACAUGAGAUAUGGAGAAGGUGAAGAGUUCCCUAAUUUGAAAUUAUUUUGUUUUGCUCACUCACUGAUUGAUUAUGUGUUAAGACCUAUCAUUCUAGAUUGUGAAUAGGUGAUGAAUAAGUUAUUUGGGGAAAAAAAGCUACUUACUCUAGCUAUAUUUGUUACCCUGGCGUUGCAAAUUUUGUGUUUAUAGACUAUAGAGAUUGAAAGAAGAAUAGAAUUGGAAACAAAGGCUAAAAGGCAUAUUCAGAAACUUCUACUACUUGAGGCCACAACUUAUAAAAGGAAAUAUGUAACUCUUGUUAGUGGAACAACAACGGAGCCAGGCUUGAAGCACAUAUUGCCGCAUUUGUCAUAUUUAGAGAUGUUGGUGAAGAUCAAGAGCAUGAAGAAUGAUAAAAAAAAUCUAUAUGUUAUAGAUGAAGAGGAAGAGGAAUGGAAGUGUUGUCAAGAUAAAUUGUAUUUUUUUUCUUUUUUUUAUUUAUUUUGGAGAACAUAAUAAUUUUUAGUUAGUUGUAAACAAUUUUCCUUAUGGAAUUGUAAACAAUAUUAUAAUAUAAUUUUGUAAUAUAUGAAAAUUUUCAAUUCCAUAUUA